rnacentral:rRNA from 1 species
UACGGGGGGAGCAAGCGUUGUUCGGAUUUACUGGGCGUAAAGGGCGCGUAGGCGGCCAGCACAAGUCAGUUGUGAAAUCUCCGAGCUUAACUCGGAAAGGUCAACUGAUACUGUGCGGCUAGAGCGCGGAAGGGGCAACUGGAAUUCUUGGUGUAGCGGUGAAAUGCGUAGAUAUCAAGAGGAACACCUGCGGCGAAGGCGGGUUGCUGGGCCGACACUGACGCUGAGGCGCGAAAGCGUGGGGAGCGAACAGG